AUUAAGACUGUGAAAAGGUAUAGUAGAAAGAGAAGCAAUUAUACAGAAAAGGAAUCAUUUGCUGAGAGAUUCUAUAAAAGCAUCUUUUGAACCCGCCUUUGAGUCCUGCACCGAACCAUAUCAAUUGAGAUAUUCAUUAGGCUGCAGCGGAAAUUACCGUUAUUAAAAUGAGAUAAUAUAUCGCUUGAUAUAUUAAUUAGGGUGGUACCACCGUAUGCCUCGGUCCCUUGC
rnacentral:ncRNA from 1 species